GAAAAAAGCAAUUACUGCCCUUGCGGUUUCAAGGCGGCCCCGUGCUGAACGAUGAAAGGAGAUAAGGAGGGGCGGUUUCAAGGCGCCCCCCACGGCGAACCCCGUUGGCCCCAGAGCAAAAGGAGAGUCAAGAGUGACUAAAUCAAAGGGAAUACGGUUAAAAACAACAACAAAAAAAGAAAAUGGAGGCGAGGACGGCAACAAGAACCGGAAAGCAACUAUUUCUCUACCGAGAGGGAGCUCUUCUUCUUUCUUUUAUGGUGGAAGAAAAGUUUUGUCUACAAAGGAGACAGCGGGAAGACGGCCGAAUGGGAGGGGGCAACGGGACAUCAUCAGGCAUGCUUAUAUGAGUCGCGCACCAGGAAUACUCCCACUCCCAUUCCCACCAACAAAGGUGUAGCUUGAGCUCACACACAUUUACUCACACACUGACACACACACACCUUUUUCUCACCACUACUGUUUGUUUUCAUUUGUGAUUGUGCUGAACCGGAUCUAUGCGUGAAGGUGGAGCAGGAGGAGGAGAGCAGGCCAGUCACACAUGCAACUUUCUGAUAUUUAGCUUUAAGAGGGGGUUUGUUUUGUUUUUUCACCAAACUGGCCUCCCUGUGCUUCCUCCUCACUCCACAAGUUUGAUCAGACUACUAAACUAGGUCUACCGUUCAUCUGCGUACCAUGUUUUGGCCUAUCACGGCGCUGUAAUGGAA
ensembl:lncRNA